rnacentral:tRNA from 1 species
GGAGAGGUGGGUGAGUGGCUGAAACCAGUUCCCUGCUAAGGAACCAUACGCGUUUAGCGUAUCGAGGGUUCGAAUCCCUCCCUCUCCG